rnacentral:rRNA from 1 species
AAAAAGUUCCAAAACCUGAAGUCUCACGACUGCCACGUGAUUAUGACGCAAUUGCUUCGGAUUGCUUUGAGGGGGCUCCUGCCGGAAAAUGUUCGAGUAGCCAUUGUGAAGCUAUGUGCAUUCCUCAAUGCAAUCUCUCAGAAGGUAAUCAAUCCAGAAGAUCUACCACGGUUACAGAACGAUGUGAUCCAAUGUCUUGUCAGUUUCGAGUUGGUGUUCCCGCCAUCCUUCUUCAAUAUUAUGACGCACCUCUUGGUUCACCUAGUCGAAGAGAUUUUCAUUCUCGGUCCUGUAUUUCUACACAAUAUGUUCCCCUUCGAGAGGUUCAUGGGAGUAUUAAAGAAAUAUGUUCGUAACCGUGCUAGGCCAGAAGGAAGAAUCGUCAAGGGCUAUGGAAAUGAGGAGGUAAUUGAGUUUUGUGUUGACUUUGUUCCUGACCUUAAGCCGAUUGGUCUUCCUCGAUCGCGGCACGAGGGGAGACUAAGUGGAAAAGGCACGAUCGGAAGGAAAUCAACGACAUGUAUGGACGACCAUUCUCUGACUGAAGCACACCACACUGUACUGACCAAUUCCAGCUUGGUGGCUCCGUACUUUGAGAAACACAAGAAUAUUUUACGCUCGGACAACCCGGGGAAGCCUGAAUCCUGGAUUAGGAAGGCCCACAUGGAGACUUUC